GCCUGUUUAGCUCAAUUGGUAGAGCAUCGGUCUUGUAAACCGAUUGUUGUCGGUUCAAGUCCGAUUUCAGGCU
rnacentral:tRNA from 1 species